rnacentral:rRNA from 1 species
CGGAAAAGAAACCAACAGGGAUUGCCUUAGUAGCGGCGAGUGAAGCGGCAAAAGCUCAAAUUUGAAAUCUGGCUCUUUCAGAGUCCGAGUUGUAAUUUGAAGAAGGUAUCUUUGGGUCUGGCUCUUGUCUAUGUUUCUUGGAACAGAACGUCACAGAGGGUGAGAAUCCCGUGCGAUGAGAUGAUCCAGGCCUAUGUAAAGUUCCUUCGAAGAGUCGAGUUGUUUGGGAAUGCAGCUCUAAGUGGGUGGUAAAUUCCAUCUAAAGCUAAAUAUUGGCGAGAGACCGAUAGCGAACAAGUACAGUGAUGGAAAGAUGAAAAGAACUUUGAAAAGAGAGUGAAAAAGUACGUGAAAUUGUUGAAAGGGAAGGGCUUGAGAUCAGACUUGGUAUUUUGUAUGUUACUUCUUCGGGGGUGGCCUCUACAGUUUAUCGGGCCAGCAUCAGUUUGGGCGGUAGGAGAAUUGCGUUGGAAUGUGGCACGGCUUCGGUUGUGUGUUAUAGCCUUCGUCGAUACUGCCAGCCUAGACUGAGGACUGCGGUUUAUACCUAGGAUGUUGGCAUAAUGAUCUUAAGUCGCCCGUCUUGAAACACGGACC